UACAGAGGGUGCGAGCGUUGUCCGGAAUCACUGGGCGUAAAGGGCGCGUAGGCGGCUUGAUAAGGUUGCGGUGAAAGCCCGGGGCUCAACCUCGGAUCGGCCGUGGCGACUCGUGGGCUGGAGCACUGUAGAGGCGGGUGGAAUUCCGGGUGUAGCGGUGGAAUGCGUAGAGAUCCGGAAGAACACCAGUGGCGAAGGCGGCCCGCUGGGCAGUGGCUGACGCUGAAGCGCGACAGCGUGGGGAGCAAACGAGGAA
rnacentral:rRNA from 1 species